UAUUUCCUCUUCCUGGAAAGCGCAUGCUGGCUUCAGGUCUUAGUUAAAUGUUACCUCCCCUGAGAGGCCUUUCUUGGUGACUCAAUCUAAACUACUUUCCCUAUACCCACUUCACUCUCUCUCACUCAUCCUGUGUGAUUUCCUUCAUAGCAUUCAUCAUCAUCUGUAGCCAAGUGUUUGCUUAUUGCCUGUGUUCCAAGCUGGCAGGAAGCACCCCCCAGAGAAGAAAUGUCACCAACCUCGCUCACUGUGGUAUUCCAGAACUCAAUAAAUGCUUGUUGAAUGACUGAAUGGAGUCAACGUGGCUGAUUUGGUGAACCAUAGAAUCGAGUCAGAAGUACAGGAGACAUCUUGACACUAAAAGUAACUGUUUAUUGUUGGCUGUUCUGGGACGGUGGAAGGCCUCUACUCCAUGCAAUCAUUCAGGAAACCAAGCUGAUGGAAGCUCUGCAAUCUCCAACCAGUUGUUCUGUUCAUCCUUGACACCUUCAUCCUUUGGGAAGGGGGACAGCAUCGAAGGGCUCAGGAGGUUGUGCCAGUCUAGCCCUUUUUAUCAUUUUACCAUUUCCACCCUUUUUCUGUUGGAAAGGACAUAGUCAUUUAGCCACAUAACUGCGAAUGAAUCUAGGAAUCAUGGAGGAAAGGGUGAAUGGAUUUUAAUGGACAAUUAGCAGUCUCCGACAUGAGAUUUGGGAGAGGCCAACAGUGCUAAAACAAUAAUUUUUAAAAAUGUAUUUAGAAGUUGAGAGAAGGUAGAAAUCAGCGUGGAACAAAAUCUUCGGGAAGAGAUGGGAUGUGAUGGAACAAAAAAC
rnacentral:lncRNA from 1 species